AGUAACACGUGAGCAACCUGCCUUUCAGUGGGGGACAACAUUUGGAAACGAAUGCUAGUACCGCAUAAGACCACAGUGUCGCAUGGCACAGGGGUCAAAGGAUUUAUCCGCUGAAAGAUGGGCUCGCGUCCGAUUAGCUAGAUGGUGAGGUAACGGCCCACCAUGGCGACGAUCGGUAGCCGGACUGAGAGGUUGAACGGCCACAUUGGGACUGAGACACGGCCCAGACUCCUACGGGAGGCAGCAUG
rnacentral:rRNA from 1 species